GUCUCCUUAGCUCAGCUGGAUAGAGCGGCUCCCUCCUAAGGAGCAGGCCACAGGUUCGAAUCCUGUAGGGGACACCA
rnacentral:tRNA from 3 species